GCCGCGGUAAUACGGAGGGUGCGAGCGUUAAUCGGGAAUUACUGGGCGUAAAGCGCAUGCAGGUGGUUUGUUAAGUCAGAUGUGAAAGCCCGGGGCUCAACCUCGGAAUUGCAUUUGAAACUGGCAAACUAGAGUACUGGUAGAGGGGGUAGAAUUUCAGGUGUAGCGGUGAAAUGCGUAGAGAUCUGAAGGAAUACCGGUGGCGAAGGCGGCCCCCUGGACAGAUACUGACACUCAGAUGCGAAAGCGUGGGGAGCAAACAGGAUUAGAUACCCUGGUAG
rnacentral:rRNA from 1 species